ensembl:lncRNA
AACAAACAAACAAACAAACAAACAAACAAACAAACAAACAAAAAACUCAAACAGGUACAAGUGAUCUUUAAACAAACAAACAAACAAACAAACAAAAAAACAAACAAACACUCAAACAGGUACAGGUGAUCUUUAAACAAACAAACAAUCAAACAAACAAAAAACUCAAACAGGUACUGGUGAUCUUUAAACAAGCAAACAAACAAACAAACAAACAAACAAAAAAACAAACAAACACUCAAACAGGUACAGGUGAUCUUUAAACAAACAAACAAACAACAAAAACUCAAACAGGUACAGGUGAUCUUUAAACAAACAAACAAACAACAAAAACUCAAACAGGUACAGGUGAUCUUUAAACAAACAAACAAACAACAAAAACUCAAACAGGUACAGGUGAUCUUUAAACAAACAAACAAACAAACAAACAAACAAACAAACAAACAAAAAACUCAAACAGGUACAGGUGAUCUUUAAACAAACAAACAAACAAACAAACAAACAAACAAACAAAAAACUCAAACAGGUACAGGUGAUAUUUAUACAAACUGGAAAACAAAUUGGUAUGUGUGAGUGAUGUAAAUACCUCAAAUUAAAAAAUGCAUGGGUGUUUACUUUUCUACUCUAACAGCAGGUGUUUGUGUUUUCAUGCAG